CUUGGCCCUCUCCAGCUUUCUUUCUAGCUCCUUUACAUUGAGCUGGAUCUCCGACUUUUCAGAUUCUACAAGUCGAAGUUUCUCUUGUAGUUUGACAUUUUUCUCCUUCAGCUCCUCAUCGAUUAUGCUAUGGCCAGAGACAGUAGAGAAAGGAAUGAACGAAGAACAGAAAGGAACGCUUUGGUGACCAACCCUCUGCUUUCACCCCACAACCACAGAACCGUGGCAUCGGAUGGGACCCCAGGAAUUAAAAGUCCCAGGUGGCAGGCCAGAGAGAAGAUAUGAGUUGCCUGAGGCUACCCCAAAGAGGAAGACAGAGCUCUUACCAGGGGGAGGCAGAGAUGGCACAGCAAGGGACAUGCCGCCAGAAUGGCACCACUGCCCCAGGACAGGCCCACCCAUGGGACCAGCAGAUGGAGAGGAUUCAAACCCAGAAUUCUUAACCAGUGCCUGGGAGAUCUUCCACAAUCUUAACAAUUACCCUCCACCACCCCUUGGGCCCUCUGUCCCCAGGAGCCUGGCCAGCCAAGACUCACAUCCUCAGGUGAGUGGCAACCACUAGAAGUGGUUGUCUCAGGGUUAGCGCCAUUAUUUAUGUUCUUCUUUUUGGUGUCGCUUGCUCCUGGACCAACACGAGGGUUGGCCUGGGGAUGAGAGUCUCUCAACUGUGGAAAGGAAGAGCAGUGAUACUCAUGAGAACUACAAGCUCCUACAGUCACAUUCUGCUUUACAGUUUAUACAAAAUACUCUUAUACACCAUCUGAUUUCAUGCCACCAACAACUGUAGGAAGUGUUGUCACAAUCACUUAGUGACUGAGAGGGAUUGAUAGCAUGGCUGAACAAAAGGCAAUAAUGGAACUUCAACUCAGUCUUCUGGCUCUGAGCUCUGGGAUUUUGCCACAACUCGGCAGCUGCCAGGGACCAAAACCGGAGGCAGAGGUAGAAAAGCAAAUAUUAAGUGGGCAGGAACUGUACACUGUGUGGUUUCGAGUCAUACAUCCUCACAUGUCUGUUAGUGUGAAGAACGGCACCACUACCUCUCAAAAUUUGUAUUAAUGUAUCCUAAUGGCAGAAGGCAGCCUUUCUGUGAAAUCUGGGAAUUUCUCUUUUAACAGAAAGAGGACAACCCAACCCUCAUUUCAGAGAGAAGUCUUAUAUAUUCUUAUAAAUUUAUCUGACUGUCACCCCUAAGUACAGUAAUGUUUUGUCUCUCAGUAGACUCAAAGGAAACUGAUGCUUCAGAAAGAUACCCCGUAUUUAUCCUGUGGCACUCAAAGUACCCCAGGUGGAGAUGAGAUGAGGAAUAUUCAAGCUGUCAAGUUCAGUUUCCCAAGAUCUGUUCCACAGAAGAUAAGCAGAUCUCACUCCAGAAACCACUGACUGAGGGGCACUCUGGUCCCAGAACAAUGCAGAAUUCAAAUCUGAGGUGGGGAACUCAGAAACAAUGUUCGAGUCUCUCUGGAGAGUAGAAGCCUGGGAGAAAACCAAACCCAACCCGUUCUCCCAUUGCCACCCAGGGACACUGUCAAUGUGUUGAGCUCAUGGGGGAGGUGUCGGCUUUU
ensembl:lncRNA